rnacentral:rRNA from 1 species
AGUUUUCGGACAAUGGAUGUAGAGGAAAGUGGCGGACGGGUGAGUAACGCGUGAGGAACCUGCCUUGAAGAGGGGGACAACAGUUGGAAACGACUGCUAAUACCGCAUGACGCAUAGAGGUCGCAUGAUCUUUAUGCCAAAGAUUUAUCGCUUCAAGAUGGCCUCGCGUCUGAUUAGCUGGUUGGCGGGGUAACGGCCCACCAAGGCGACGAUCAGUAGCCGGACUGAGAGGAAGGUCCCCACAUUGGUACUGAGACACGGACCAAACUCC